ACCAUCCAUACUUUUAACACUAACAAAGACGCCUCUCUUUUAAAUCUUCAGUGGAACCCAAUAAAGAAGAUUACGUUCUCACUUUAUUUGUCUGUCCACUUUAGCAAAAGUUUUGUAAGUGAAAGCUGUGCAACCUGUUCAUGUCCAUCGGUGUCUAAUCGCUCGGCUUCUGUAUACUGUUUUAAGAUAUUCUAUAAGCUCUUCUUAGCCUAACUAUGGUUUAUUACUUUUAAAAUUAUCCGUGUCGAGUCAUUUGUGGUUUAGUUCAGUGCUUUUGAUGUGAAACAAAUAAUAGUUUGACAAUACUUAACUGAGUAGAACGCAUCAAGAAGUAACGCAAGGAGAAGGCACGUGGAAAAACGAAUCAGAAGGCAAGGAUGGGAGCCAGCUGGUGUCUCGCGCUACCGUCGCUGCUGCUGGUCCUGCUGUCGUGUCCCGGGAGCGCGAAGCCUGCGCUGGAAUUUCUAGCAGUACAGGGCAAAGGUGGGGCUCUGUCUAGCCGGGACACAAGGCAGUAUGAUGAUGUAGAUUAUGACAGCUUUGUUGGCCUAAUGGGCAGAAGAAGUACAGGAGCUGUGGUGAAAACUUGGCCCUCUCCUCUGCUAUAGGUAAUUUGGAUAUAGAUGAUAUCUUUGUUGGAUUGUUAGGCCGGCGAAGCUCAGACUCUGAUAUACCUCCCUGGGCAGGAGAGAGCAGAGCCAGGUUUUUCAUGAAGAACAGGAAGUUCAGAUCUCAACAAGGUGUGUGAAGUUGUGUCUCACCUGCUGAAAAUGCAUGUUAAACACACUAUCAUGAUAUAGAAAACAAGACAAGAGAUCUACAUGCAAAGCUCUUUCUGAUAUUUAGGUCUUCUGUAUGUUACUGUGUACAUUUAACAUUAAAGAAUGUGACUGAUUUGUCGGUCUCAAAUAGAA